GCAUUGAUUCGUUUUCUUUGUUGAUGGAAAAUACAUCUAGUUUCUUGAAGUAGUUCGACUCGAAGGACAUGCCAUCACCCAAGAAGAAGCUGUUCUGUCGAGAGAUAUCCAUCUCCUGCAGGAAUUUGCUGCUUCUUUUUGCACUGAAUUGAACUAUGGUUUUUGCUGGUUUUUCUUUUUCCUUUUUUUAUGCUAGGAAGUGAUACGCCAACCAGUCCUAAGCCCAGGUAAUGGAGGACUAAUGGCAAGUGGGCAGCUGGUCUUAAAACCUUUACUAGGCAAUUAUGAGAAUGCCGACUCCAAAUAGCUGGGAUGAACUUUGCAGUGGAGCUUUCUCCGAGCUUGUUUUUGCUCCAAUUGAUGAAUUAUUCCCUGAUGAUGCUCCGCUGCUACCGUCUGGUUUCUGGGUCAUUCCACUGGAUUAAAAAACAGGCGAAGCGCAGGAUGGCUCAAGCACACAUAGGACCUUGGAUUUGGCAUCUAGUCUUGAAGCAGGCUCUGCCGUGAACCGCACAUUUGGAGAUGCUUCUACAAACACUUCUAGCCUGCGCUCUGUGCUGACAAUCGCCUUCCAGUUCCCUUAUAAAAUGCACCUCUGGGACAGCGUUGUGACCAUGGCUCGACAGUACUUGUGGUGUGUCAUUUCAUCUGUACAGCGGGUUGUAUGAAGCUAUUUCAACAUAGAGGUUUCUUAAGUGUGUUUCCUUGUAGUACUCUAUGCACAGGUUUAUGAAUGGGUUAAAAUAAA